rnacentral:tRNA from 1 species
AAUAAGAUGCCUGACAAAAGGGUUAUUUUGAUAGAAUAAAUCAUGCAGGAAACUGCUCUUAUUA